AGACACUAAAUGACAGUUGGAUGAAAGGCUGCCCAGCAGGCAGAGGAGCUCAUAGAGAAUAUGGGAAGUCAUUAGAGGCUUUUGAGUCAGAGGCUGAUAAUAUCCGAAAACUAUAUUGUAAGCUGAGUAAUCCAUUAGUUAUUCAGUAGUGCUGGGAGGAGGGAGGUUGAGGGAGCCGGGAGAACAACUGAAGUAGUAAGGGCUGGAAGUUGAGAAUGACGAAGACUACAGUGGGGACUGGAAAGGGGAUGGAGAUGAGCUUCACGGUGGAGGUAGGGCUAGAAGCUUGAGCAAGACGUUUGGAUGUGUUUAAGAGGGGGAUGCGGGAUGAGGUGAGGCCAAGGUCUGCAGCCCUGGUGCCGGAGAAGGAACUCGAAUAGAGGAAGCAAACCAAAGUCAUGAGAAGGCACUGGAUGCAGAGUUUCUUUAUGCUGUCAGCUUUAAGGAUCAUCCCUAAACUCGGCUAUGCUCCCCCUGGAGAGCAGCAUAUGAAAAGGCGCAGAAGCCUGCAGCUAGUCCCACGUGGCAGGAGGCAGUGUAUGAGGAAAGGAACGGCCAGAGGGAGCCAGGCUUGAGUGACCUCAAGCUUGACAGCUAUAGAAUUUCUUUAUCGUCAAAGAGCAUUCGGGGCUUCCCUGGUGGUGCAGUGGUUAAGAAUCCACCUACCAGUGCAGGGGACAUGGGUACGAGCCCUGGUCUGGGAA